UGAUUCUCCAAUUCAAAUCCCCGAUUAGCAAAACUCAUGCGUAGAAGCAAGUCAUCGGGUCAUCUUGCGCCGAAUUGCGCAUGUACAGGCAUUCAAAUCAACGGCAGUCUUUCGAUAUAAACGUGUUUUUGACGAAAAUUAAAACGUGUCAGUUUAUCACUUUCACGAGGUUGGCGUAGUAACAUGUUCAACUACUUAGGAAACUAGCUCGAAUCUAGGUUUUGUCUUUUGGUUUCGAGAAAAUUAACAACUGAGGUUGUCAGACACCAGUCUACAUCUGGGUAGAGAAACAUCCCAUACAUUCUGAAGUAUGUGCUGUACUUGGCUUCUAUUUUGAACAUCUACUUGUGAUUUCUGUCUGGUUGACAUCCAUCGGCAAGCUUCGUUGACUUAAGGUAGACCAGAAAAGCCACAUCCCAGAAGGGCAGAUGAGCAGCAACGCUGACUAGAAGCACCCGCUGCUGUUACUUUACAAAUGUUUUGAAUUAAAAUAAACGUGUAUCUACACACUGAAGAAGGCUGUAAAGCCGGAAAAUCUGUACACUAUCCCUGAUGCAGUAAAAAUAAUUAAACAUAAAAUGAUGAA
ensembl:lncRNA